rnacentral:rRNA from 1 species
CCUACGGGCGGCAGCAGUGAGGAAUAUUGGUCAAUGGGCGCGAGCCUGAACCAGCCAAGUAGCGUGAAGGAUGACUGCCCUACGGGUUGUAAACUUCUUUUAUAAAGGAAUAAAGUGAGGCACGUGUGCCUUUUUGCAUGUACUUUAUGAAUAAGGAUCGGCUAACUCCGUACCAGCAGCCGCGGUAAUACGGAGGAUCCGAGCGUUAUCCGGAUUUAUUGGGUUUAAAGGGAGCGUAGGUGGGAUGUUAAGUCAGUUGUGAAAGUUUGCGGCUCAACCGUAACAUUGCAGUUGAUACUGGCGGUCUUGAGUACGGUUGAGGUAGGCGGAAUGCGUGGUGUAGCGGUGAAAUGCUUAGAUAUCACGAAGAACUCCGAUUGCGAAGGCAGCUUACUGGACUGCCACUGACGUUGAUGCUCGAAAGUGUGGGUAUCGAACAGGAUUAGAUACCCCAGUAGUC